rnacentral:tRNA from 1 species
GCAGGGAUGGUGAAACUGGCAGACACGAUAGGUUGAGGGCCUAUUGCCGCAAGGCGUGAGGGUUCAAAUCCCUCUCCCUGCA